UUUGAUCCUGGCUCAGGAUGAACGCUGGCGGCGUGCUUAACACAUGCAAGUCGAAGGUGAAACAGGAGCUUGCUCCUGCGGAUCAGUGGCGAACGGGUGAGUAACACGUGAGUAACCUGCCCUUGACUCUGGGAUAAGCGUUGGAAACGACGUCUAAUACCGGAUACGAGCUUCAGUCGCAUGGCUAGGAGCUGGAAAGAACUUCGGUCAAGGAUGGACUCGCGGCCUAUCAGCUAGUUGGUGAGGUAACGGCCCACCAAGGCGACGACGGGUAGCCGGCCUGAGAGGGUGACCGGCCACACUGGGACUGAGACACGGCCCAGACUCCUACGGGAGGCAGCAGUGGGGAAUAUUGCACAAUGGGCGCAAGCCUGAUGCAGCAACGCCGCGUGAGGGACGACGGCCUUCGGGUUGUAAACCUCUUUUAUUAGGGAAGAAGCGAAAGUGACGGUACCUGCAUAAAAAGCGCCGGCUUAAUUACGUGCCAGCAGCCGCGGAAAAACGUAGGGGGCCGAGCUUAUCCGGAAUUAUUGGGCCGUAAAAACCUCGUA
rnacentral:rRNA from 1 species